AGAGUUUGAUCCUGGCUCAGGACGAACGCUGGCGGCGCGCCUAACACAUGCAAGUCGAACGAGCGAGAGAGAGCUUGCUUUCUCGAGCGAGUGGCGAACGGGUGAGUAACGCGUGAGGAACCUGCCUCAAAGAGGGGGACAACAGUUGGAAACGACUGCUAAUACCGCAUAAGCCCACGGUGCCGCAUGGCACAGAGGGAAAAGGAGCAAUCCGCUUUGAGAUGGUCUCGCGUCCGAUUAGCUAGUUGGUGAGGUAACGGCCCACCAAGGCGACGAUCGGUAGCCGGACUGAGAGGUUGAACGGCCACAUUGGGACUGAGACACGGCCCAGACUCCUACGGGAGGCAGCAGUGGGGAAUAUUGCACAAUGGGGGAAACCCUGAUGCAGCGACGCCGCGUGGAGGAAGAAGGUCUUCGGAUUGUAAACUCCUGUUGUUGGGGAAGAUAAUGACGGUACCCAACAAGGAAGUGACGGCUAACUACGUGCCAGCAGCCGCGGCAAAACGUAGGUCACAAGCGUUGUCCGGAAUUACUGGGUGUAAAGGGAGCGCAGGCGGGAAGACAAGUUGGAAGUGAAAUCUAUGGGCUCAACCCAUAAACUGCUUUCAAAACUGUUUUUCUUGAGUAGUGCAGAGGUAGGCGGAAUUCCCGGUGUAGCGGUGGAAUGCGUAGAUAUCGGGAGGAACACCAGUGGCGAAGGCGGCCUACUGGGCACCAACUGACGCUGAGGCUCGAAAGUGUGGGUAGCAAACAGGAUUAGAUACCCUGGUAGUCCACACCGUAAACGAUGAUUACUAGGUGUUGGAGGAUUGACCCCUUCAGUGCCGCAGUUAACACAAUAAGUAAUCCACCUGGGGAGUACGACCGCAAGGUUGAAACUCAAAGGAAUUGACGGGGGCCCGCACAAGCAGUGGAGUAUGUGGUUUAAUUCGACGCAACGCGAAGAACCUUACCAAGUCUUGACAUCCCUUGACAGGCAUAGAAAUAUGUUUUCUCUUCGGAGCAAGGAGACAGGUGGUGCAUGGUUGUCGUCAGCUCGUGUCGUGAGAUGUUGGGUUAAGUCCCGCAACGAGCGCAACCCUUAUGGUUAGUUACUACGCAAGAGGACUCUGGCCAGACUGCCGUUGACAAAACGGAGGAAGGUGGGGAUGACGUCAAAUCAUCAUGCCCUUUAUGACUUGGGCUACACACGUACUACAAUGGCGUUAAACAAAGAGAAGCGAGACCGCGAGGUGGAGCAAAACUCAGAAACAACGUCCCAGUUCGGACUGCAGGCUGCAACUCGCCUGCACGAAGUCGGAAUUGCUAGUAAUCGUGGAUCCGCAUGCCACGGUGAAUACGUUCCCGGGCCUUGUACACACCGCCCGUCACACCAUGAGAGCCGGGGGGACCCG
rnacentral:rRNA from 1 species